rnacentral:rRNA from 1 species
CCUACGGGUGGCAGCAGUGAGGAAUAUUGGUCAAUGGACGAGAGUCUGAACCAGCCAAGUAGCGUGAAGGAUGACGGCCCUAUGGGUUGUAAACUUCUUUUAUAUGGGAAUAAAAUGUUCCACGUGUGGGAUUUUGUAUGUACCAUAUGAAUAAGGAUCGGCUAACUCCGUGCCAGCAGCCGCGGUAAUACGGGGGAUUCGAGCGUUAUCCGGAUUUAUUGGGUUUAAAGGGAGCGUAGGUGGAUUGUUAAGUCAGUUGUGAAAGUUUGCGGCUCAACCGUAAAAUUGCAGUUGAAACUGGCAGGCUUGAGUACAGUAGAGGUGGGCGGAAUUCGUGGUGUAGCGGUGAAAUGCUUAGAUAUCACGAAGAACUCCGAUUGCGAAGGCAGCUCACUGGACUGCAACUGACACUGAGGCUCGAAAGUGUGGGUAUCAAACAGGAUUAGAUACCCCGGUAGUC